rnacentral:rRNA from 1 species
UUUAUGGAGAGUUUGAUCCUGGCUCAGGAUGAACGCUGGCGGCGUGCCUAAUACAUGCAAGUCGAGCGAACAGACGGGGAGCUUGCUCCCCCGACGUUAGCGGCGGACGGGUGAGUAACACGUGGGUAACCUACCUAUAAGACUGGAAUAACUCCGGGAAACCGGGGCUAAUGCCGGAUAACAUGUUGAACCGCAUGGACCUACAGUGAAAGACGUUCUUGCUGUCACUUAUAGAUGGACCCGCGCCGUAUUAGCUAGUUGGUAAGGUAACGGCUUACCAAGGCAACGAUACGUAGCCGACCUGAGAGGGUGAUCGGCCACACUGGAACUGAGACACGGUCCAGACUCCUACGGGAGGCAGCAGUAGGGAAUCUUCCGCAAUG